GAAGGUAGAAGGUGGGGUCUGCCGGACGCGUGUUCCUGCCACCAGGUGCCCGCUCCCCGCGAGGCCGGCUCAGGAGCAGAAGGAAGCCCGGUGCCAGCCAGCCUUCCUGAAAGACCAAGCCCGCGCCAUCCGGCUUCCUCCAGUGGACGCCUGCAGGACCCAGGAAUGUUUUUCUUGAAGGCAUCCAGCAUCUCCAGUUAGCAGUACUGAUUUUUUUUCCCCCCAACAAAGGAACACUACAUCAACACUGUUGGCGGGGACCUGGACACAGAAGACUCCUGUUUCAAGAAAAUACAAUCAUCUCUCAAAGGCUGUAAUUUAUAUGCAUUUUAAAACUCUAGGCAUUGAAAACCACCCAAGUGUCCCAAAUAGAAGGGUAAUAUAUAAUCAAUCACUCAGUGUAAUAUUAUACAUCCUUUAAAAAUGUUAUUGGGAAAUGUUUUAUGAUCUGUAAGUCCAAGGAAUCCUCUCCCACCAUUUCUUUCCCCCCGCUGUUCCCCCAUACCCACACUUCUUUGUUCCAAUUGGCAUGUAAAUUUGGUUUUCCCGCCAAAUGAGUCAGUCAUGAUGGGAACCUCAACUGAUUUGAACAGAUGUGUGUCAAUGUUACUUGGAAAACUAGAUGUCAAUAACCAGGGUCACAGAAAAAGGCAGUGGUCACAACUCUGUAAAAAUGUAUGCAUGCACACAGACAAGAACUAAAGUGGAACCCCACACAGGAAAACAGUGGGCUGUACUCCAGUGCUGGGACAUUGAAUGACUGUAUGCUGCUUUUGAUUUCCGUUA